ACAGGUUUGAGUGUGUCAAGAACUGCAAUGCUGCUGGGUUUUUGAUGCUCAACAGUUUCUCAUCUGUAUCAGGAAUGGUCCACCACCCAAAGGGAAUCCAGACAACUUGAUUCAACUGUGGGAAGCAUUGGAGUCAAUAUGGGCCAGCAUAUUGUAGAGUCCAUGCCCCGACGAAUUGAGGCUGUUCUGAGGGCAAAAGGGAGAGCAACUCAAUAUUAGGAAGACAGCCGUUACAGAGGCAAUGUACUGGUACAUCAUUUAUCAGCCUUCUCUCUGUCUGUCUGUCUGCCGCUCUCUCACACACAUAUGCACCACGUUCCAGUCACAGCCUCGGCCCGCACAUGAGAUGAGCAUUGAGGAGGCAUCCAUGGCCCUUCCACCAGCACAGGAGGAACCAAUGUAUGCCAGUCUGUGGUUCAUUUGGCUUCGAAGGGCCCCUGCUGAUGACUUCCCUCGAGAUGCACUGCAUUCUUUAUGGAUGAAUACCAGCAGGGCCUAUUAAAAGCUCCCUGUGCAAGUCUGCUACACAUCAGGAUCUGCGGCUGUAAUUACACCAGCCAAUUAAGGCAUGGGGACGAGUGGAGGAGCACAACAGAGGAGAUUUAUCCACCACCCGCCCCGUCUGCCCCCUCUCUGUCAGCACGGGGCUACUGGGUUGCCAGGUUCCACCGUGCAAUAGGCAGGCAUGUUCUUUACUGUACUCGGC
rnacentral:lncRNA from 1 species